AGCAGCCGCGGUAAUUCCAGCUCCAAUAGCGUAUAUUAAAGUUGUUGCAGUUAAAAAGCUCGUAGUUGAAUUUCGGGGUUAGUAGAUUGGUCAUGCCAUCGGUAUGCACUGGUCUCACUGAUUCCUCCUUCCUGAUGAGCCGUAAUGCCAUUAAUUUGGUGUUGCGGGGAAUUUGGACUGUUACUUUGAAAAAUUAGAGUGUUUAAAGCAAGCUAACGCUUGAAUACAUUAGCAUGGAAUAAUGAAACAGGACGUUCGAUUCUAUUUUGUUGGUUUCUAGGAUUGACGUAAUGAUUAAUAGGGAUAGUUGGGGGCAUUAGUAUUCAAUUGUCAGAGGUGAAAUUCUUGGAUUUAUUGAAGACUAACUACUGCGAAAGCAUUUGCCAAGGAUGUUUUCAUUAAUCAAGAACGAAAGUUAGGGGAUCGAAGACGAUCAGAUACCGUCGUAGU
rnacentral:rRNA from 1 species